UUUCCCAUACUUUUCAGUGUGAACGCACUUACACACUCAAAAUGUUAAGUUUAAGUACAGAAGUAUGCGAUUUGAGACACAGCACUAGGCUAACGUUAGCUACGUCAGCUAAAUUGUGCUAACGGAUCAGGUAUCAUAAUCAAGUAACAAUAAACUUAGUAAAAUAUUAUGUGGCAGCAUCUUGCGGAGGUCUUGUUGGUGUAACUCCUUUAAGUAUUAUUGUCGUAUUAUCAGCUUUUCAGUCAUCUGUGAAGCACUUUGAAAGGUGCUACAUAAAUAAAGUAUGAUUGAUUGAGUGACUAAGUAGUGCAAUCCUAGUUUGAAUCAGGUUUAAACUCUAGUAGCACUCAUACAAAGACAAGCAGGAGUAUGACGGAUUUGUUGAGAUUAUGUAAGGUAAAAGGAUAACCUGAAACAAAAUUCCUUUAUGUUGUGAGUGUCUUAUAAAGCUCAUCCAGAGUAUCUUACAAGUUAGAGGUUUCAGGUUUGGAGGCCCUGAGCACAGCAGUACAGCUCCAGCUAUUGUCUGCAUGCUCUGACCUCUGACUUUUGCUCACACUACAAUUGAUCCAGGAACUGCAUCUUAUCACUGGGUGCUGUAAUGACAUCUCUCAGACUCUCUCUCAGAAUCACAGCAACUGUCAGGCAUUUAUCAUCAUGUGCUCAGCUCUUCAGUCCCUCUCACCUGUGCAUUAGAGGCAUUACUUCUCUCAGGCUCUAGAGUCAUCAUCACAGCCACCUGUAUCCACCUUGUUCCUUUAUGGGGAAAAUAAAUAAUGUGAGACCACAA